AUUCACACUUCUUGUUUUUGACAGCGAGGACGCGAAUUAGCCAUCAUCUCAGUCUCCCCACUUAGCUUAGCCUGUUAGCUAGCUAGCUAGUCGUGUGUGAGAGAGAGAGAGAGAGAGAGAGAGACGUUGCUAAAGUUCGGUGCUGUGCCUCGAGAUGCCCGCGAUGUUGGAAAAGGGUACGACGGAGAUUUCAGGGAAAAGAAGAGGCAGAAACUCGGUGAACAACCCGACAAAAAGUUUUACUUCCAACGGCAACAGUAACAAUUCUCGAGGAGCGCGUGAAUGAGACAGAACCUGACCUGAGAGAAAAUGAUGCCUGUUGGAGCUGAAAGCAGAGAGCUCACAGAUCAAAGCAGAGCCCAUGGAUUAGCAUUCAGUGGAAGUCCCAUGAGUGAGGAGGACAAGGAGAAAAAGAUGAGAGGCCUGGAGAGGAGAGCUCCACAACAUUUAGUGCAGUGAAUUACAUCAGAAUUACAUUCACUGGCACAUUCUGAGGAUAAGUAUAUUGUAGUAACACAUUCUAUUUCCACACACACACACACACACAUUUUGCUAGCUAGUAAACUGGAUUCUAAUUAGGCAAAUCAGCUGUGAUUGUGGCUAUGUUAAGCUCUUGCCUGCACAUAGCAGAAAAAAUAUAACAACUGGUUAAAUGUUUUACAGUUUAAAAAACUAUAUAACUGAAUGGUAUAACUGAUUGAUCUUUCAUGAUUUAGUGCAAAUCACUAGAGUGGUUUCUGAAAGCUACCAAGCAUUACAUAUGAUCUACCAGAAUGCUGCUAUCAGAAUUACCCUUAUCUACUGAUCUUACUGUAUAUCCUGCUUCCAAAAUUUAUUUCUGUACUUACAAAAUACAACAUACUGUCUUUUUUAUUCUGAUAUAUUAUUCAGUUGCAGUAUUUUGUAGUUUGACUUAUUUGUAUUUGGGCUAUUUUGUAUUAAGGGCAUUUCACACAGGAGGCAACAAAAUGCUCUCAGCUCUGCCUGUCUCACUCCGCUUCCCAUGAGAAACAUCGUUAUUUUAUUUGGCAGAUGAAAUUCGCUUGUGUCUUUGUCAUGGUAUCCACAGUAACAACAAUGCUAAGCAGAGCUAGUAUUUGUUGAAUAUAGAAAAUAUAGAAAAUAGAAACUAUGAAUAAAUGAAAAACGUUUGACUACAGAAGGUUUCACCAUCAUUUUCAUUAUUUUAGUUAAAUAUAAACAUAUCUCUAUUA